UAACUUUUUUUUCUUAAUCGUGUUAAAAACAAAAAAUAAUGCUGAAAUAUGAAUAUGAUAUCUUAAUGACUUUGUUGUGCUUUAUGUGUUUCUCUGGUAUGAAUCCUGUUUCCACAUCUCCACAUCAAGCAAAUCUUUCCAUAACACAGGAGAUCCCAUCGCUCUCCUGUGGCCUCAUGAGUGAGAGAGGGAACCACCUGCCAGGGGGUAUAACCAGUGCCAGCGUCAUCCUUGCCUGUGAAAUCAUUCCUCAGCGGAUGUUUUCUGCUGGGAUUGUUGUUGUUGAAGUUCCUCAGAGGCAUCGCUGCAUGUCGUAUUACAUCAUAUAGUGAAAUUCUGUCUGCUCACCAAGGAGAUUCGAGCAGACGUAUCCCAGCAUAACACAUAUUUCUGCUAUUAGAGCUUUUCCUCCUUUCUGCGUAUAUCUGGAAACAUCGAAUAAAUCAACGUCUGCUUGGCAUUCAGCAGGUGAAGAUGAUAUGUCAUCGUUAUACAAAGAUGUGGGAAAGAUGGAGUGACUUAAUGAAAGAUGAGCUGCGGCGAGAGAGGAGGAGACAGAUGAAGAAAGACUCUGCCUGCAGGUGAUUCAGGUCAGCGCUCUCACAGAUGAGCCGCUGCCACGGUUACCAUCUCUAUGGAAACUAGGAGGUGUUCCAUUGCGAUAGAACUGCCACCCUGAUGUUUCUGAUGAACCACUAGCUGCUGAAUGCCAGCUCACUGACUGUGUCCAUGCAGGAGAAGGACAUGCCUUUUCAGUUGCGUCUUCAUAAAUGGAAAAAUAUGAAACGACAUUUAUUUUUACUUCCUAAUGUGAUGUAUUUUAAGUUAACAAGAUAUUCACAAAAGAAAAAAUGCAGGGUUUUAUUAGAUUUUGCCCAUUUUAGAAUUGUUUGGUAAAGGCUUGAUGAUGUCAUCUGAAAACGGCAGUUGAUUCAAAGGUGUUUUUUUUUUUUAAUGAAUAAAAAUACAAUGUCAGACUUUU